GCCCUUAGAGUUUGAUCCUGGCUCAAGACGACCUCUGGCGGCGCGCCUAACACAUGCAAGUCGAACGAGCGAGAGAGAGCUUGCUUUCUCGAGCGAGUGGCGAACGGGUGAGUAACGCGUGAGGAAUCUGCCUCAAAGAGGGGGACAACAGUUGGAAACGACUGCUAAUACCGCAUAAGCCCACGGUGCCGCAUGGCACAGAGGGAAAAGGAGUAAUCCGCUUUGAGACGGCCUCGCGUCCGAUUAGCUAGUUGGUGAGGUAACGGCCCACCAAGGCGACGAUCGGUAGCCGGACUGAGAGGUUGAACGGCCACAUUGGGACUGAGACACGGCCCAGACUCCUACGGGAGGCAGCAGUGGGGAAUAUUGCACAAUGGGGAAACCCUGAUGCAGCGACGCCGCGUGGAGGAAGAAGGUCUUCGGAUUGUAAACUCCUGUUGUUGGGGAAGAUAAUGACGGUACCCAACAAGGAAGUGACGGCUAACUACGUGCCAGCAGCCGCGGUAAAACGUAGGUCACAAGCGUUGUCCGGAAUUACUGGGUGUAAAGGGAGCGCAGGCGGGAAGACAAGUUGGAAGUGAAAUCUAUGGGCUCAACCCAUAAACUGCUUUCAAAACUGUUUUUCUUGAGUAGUGCAGAGGUAGGCGGAAUUCCCGGUGUAGCGGUGGAAUGCGUAGAUAUCGGGAGGAACACCAGUGGCGAAGGCGGCCUACUGGGCACCAACUGACGCUGAGGCUCGAAAGUGUGGGUAGCAAACAGGAUUAGAUACCCUGGUAGUCCACACCGUAAACGAUGAUUACUAGGUGUUGGAGGAUUGACCCCUUCAGUGCCGCAGUUAACACAAUAAGUAAUCCACCUGGGGAGUACGACCGCAAGGUUGAAACUCAAAGGAAUUGACGGGGGCCCGCACAAGCAGUGGAGUAUGUGGUUUAAUUCGACGCAACGCGAAGAACCUUACCAAGUCUUGACAUCCCUUGACAGACAUAGAAAUAUGUAAUCUCUUCGGAGCAAGGAGACAGGUGGUGCAUGGUUGUCGUCAGCUCGUGUCGUGAGAUGUUGGGUUAAGUCCCGCAACGAGCGCAACCCUUAUGGUCAGUUACUACGCAAGAGGACUCUGGCCAGACUGCCGUUGACAAAACGGAGGAAGGUGGGGAUGACGUCAAAUCAUCAUGCCCUUUAUGACUUGGGCUACACACGUACUACAAUGGCGUUAAACAAAGAGAAGCAAGACCGCGAGGUGGAGCAAAACUCAGAAACAACGUCCCAGUUCGGACUGCAGGCUGCAACUCGCCUGCACGAAGUCGGAAUUGCUAGUAAUCGUGGAUCAGCAUGCCACGGUGAGUACGUUCCCGGGCCUUGCACA
rnacentral:rRNA from 1 species